CUUAAUGCAGUUUAUUAGAAGGGAAACAACCCUGGUAUACACUUCAUCUCCCUUUACAAGUCAGGUGUCUUCUGAGUACCGUAUACAACGGAGGCAGGCGAUUUCAAGAAUUCGAGCCGAGUUGUUACGAUUGCAACGGAGGCUGACGAGUGUACCGGAUGCAGUAGUUCCGAGCAUACCGGUAUUAGUGAGGUUAGUGCAACGUGCAAAAGUAGUGUUCAGUGACGCCAUUUUGACGAUCUAUAGAAGAGUCUAAUUAUUUAGCUACUGCUCAUCCAAGAAAGCAAAAAACAACGACUGUCGCUAGCCUUGUCAAAUACAAAAUGGCGUAUGUUUUCACCUCGGCUUAUUGCUAGGCAACAAACUUCAGUAAAGUGCCCGGACAUCCGACCUGACCAAUUCCGCUUGAUUAGGACAUUGCCUGAAACUCAAAGGUGUGUUUCGGAAUUCCUUUUGGUACUGCUGCUACUGUGGCACUGGUGAAAUUAACUAUUUGGUACCUUGAAUCCCUCGUUCCAGUGUAUCCUUUUUGCUUUUUAAUUAAAUAGCAGUAUAAGGCAAGUUGCAUGUUAUUGUUAUAAAAUCUAUUAUUAGUAACAAAUUGCUGAUAAGAGAUACAGGUAACUUGCAAAAAAAUAUGGUGGCUGAUAAAAUGAAAAAUAUAGUAAUUUUAUAUUUAUAAUAACAAACUUAUUUUUUAUUUAACAGCUUAGUUAUAGUAUUUUAUAUCUUUAGAAAUGUCAUUUUACUCAUAUUUUUUUACAUUAAAAAAUAAAUUAACAAAACAUUUUCAUUUUUUCUUGGUAAAGAGUUAAACUUGGUGCUAAAAAAACUAUUGAAAUAACAGUUGAAAAAUAGCUGAGCUUUCCUUUCUGCUUAUAUUUCAAAAAUAUGAAAAUAUAGAACUUUCAAAUGAUAUAAAAAAGAAUCUAAUAAUAAAGUUAUUAGAGUUUAAAAAUUCUGCUGCUAUAUAAUGAAUAUAAAUAUUGGUUCUUCUUGCCAACUGGUAAAUCUGCUAAAUUCUGGCAGCAGGUGCUUGUGAUGUCACCAUGCAAUGGGCCUAAUUGUUUUUUGAAUUGAACCAUUUCAAUUUUAAUAUAAUAUGAAAUUUGGCAAAGCCUAUGAACGGGGAAGUCUGUUAAAAAAUCCUAUAAUUUUUCCGUUUUAAAGGUGUCAUUUGGUAUUAUAUGUACCCGCUGCCGUUUUCACUCGGAACACUCCACGAUUAUUAUUAAU